CCCGCCCUAGCUCAGUAGUAGAGCGGCUGGCUGUAGACCAGUUGGUCGCCGGUGCAAUUCCGGCGGGCGGGACCA
rnacentral:tRNA from 1 species